rnacentral:piRNA from 1 species
AGGGUAACUGCCUUUAA